rnacentral:rRNA from 1 species
UACGAAUGGGGCUAGCGUUGUUCGGAAUUACUGGGCGUAAAGCGCGCGCAGGCGGCCUUCCAAGUCAGUGGUGAAAGCCCGGAGCUCAACUCCGGAACUGCCAUUGAAACUGUUAGGCUUGAGGACGAGAGAGGUGAGUGGAAUUCCCAGUGUAGAGGUGAAAUUCGUAGAUAUUGGGAAGAACACCGGUGGCGAAGGCGGCUCACUGGCUCGUUUCUGACGCUCAGGCGCGACAGCGUGGGGAGCGAACAGG